rnacentral:lncRNA from 1 species
CAUCUCCUUAUGGGAACGAUCUUCAUCACCAAGACAAUGUAACGCACGGUCAGUUUGCGUUCACAACUCAAGAGACAGGGAACUACUUGGCUUGUUUCUCGGUUGAUUCAAGUCAUCCGCUACCUAAUCCGUUGACCCUUGGGAUUGAUUGGAAGACUGGUAUCGCCGCCAAAGAUUGGGACUCUGUUGCUAAAAAGGAAAAGAUCGAGGCAAGUUACAUUUACAUUUACAUCUCCUCUCUUUUCUUCUUUGUGAUGUGUUGCUACAUCGUUAUGAAUGUGUAUUGUUUUUUGCAGGGUGUUGAGCUUCAGUUAACGAGACUUGAGGGGUUAGUGCAAGCGAUUCGUGAGAACAUCGAGUAUAUAAAGAACAGGUACGUCUCUACCUCUUUUGUCUCCUACAAAAUAGUGAUAUGUAAAGCAAAUUUUGGAUACAGGGAAGGGGAGAUGCGAGGAGUGAGUGAAGCAACCAACGCAAGAGUGGCUUGGUUCAGUAUAAUGUCACUUGGGGUUUGUCUUUCAGCAGCGGGUGCGCAGAUAUGGUACCUGAAGCGAUAUUUCCACAAGAAGAAACUCAUCUAAAGACUUUUGGCUUGGAAGGCUACUUUGCUAUAUUUUGUAACAUCACAGAUUCUCCCACCUUUGUAGAGUCAACUUGUUAGUUGUUACAAUCAAAGAACGCAUUUUCAUUUAUAUCUUCUGUGGAACAGGAUAUUGUGUUUUGAUUUAUCUCUGCUGGAGUAGAAUCUCUCUGACUUUCUCUAGGUGUAUGAUUUUCUGCAUUCCACUGUUACAGAUCACAUGUAACUGAUGAGAUUAGGCCUGCGGGUUGGGGUAGUUCGGAAUUCGGAUAGUUCAGUUCAACCAAAAUAUUGUCAAAUUGAUCGAAAACAAUCUGUUUCGGUAUUCGGGUAGUUUGGUUUUAAAAGUUUUACCAAAAUUAACUAGAGUUUUUUUAGUUCGAUUAUCUUUCGGUUAAAUUAAUUUUAAUUAAAUUCAGAUAAUUUCGGCUACUUGGUUUAUUCGGUUAAUUUGGUUCAAAAUUUGGUUUAUUCGGUUAAUUUGUAGAAAAGCUGACCAAGCUGAAAAGCAAUAUUUUUAUAAACAUGCGAAACUGAACCGGAUUCAUAACCAAACUAACCAAAAAUUUCAGUUCAGUUUUUGGUUAGGCAAAUUUGGUUCAGUUCAAAACCACAGGCCUAGAUGAGAUUAAAACUUUCUGUGAGAUACAACUUCAAGAUAAUAAAUAGUUUUUCGGUUUUACUCAUCAAGAAGUCUCUCACAAAUGAGUUUUAAUGCGCGGUAAAAUAAACAAAUUGUUGUUGACCAAUCAACAUGAGAAGACAAAGGAGAUGGAGAUGAGAAACAUGAUAAAGAAGUAGCUAAAAGAGUAGACAGUGGCAGCGGUUGAGAUGCUUCCAGCUGGACCAUUAGCAGGGUUCCCCGGCAAGGAACCACCACCUGGAGGAAUCACAGAUGAUCCUGGCGAAGCUGCUAUUGAACCUGGACCAUCAUAAUCCGGUGAAGGCGCUGGUGCAUACAUUAGAUCCUUAGGAACAGUAUCAGGCGGAGCUAGAAGCGGCGCAAACUGUUGAGGCCCGGGACAUCGUGGCUGUAGAGAUCUAGACAGCAUGGUCAAGAUGGUGCCGUUGGCGAAACCAUUGUAAUCACAAGUCGUCACGUUACAGCCAGCGCUACUCUGCUGGACCGUGAUGUUACCGAGCAUGAGGUUGCUGUUUGUACACUGCAUACUCGAGCAUGAGACGGCUAAAGAAGCAGGCUCACAAUACAAACUGCAUCACACACACACACACCAUAACCAAUUUAACAUUAGCUUGGGAGAAGGAAGGAAGGACGGUAAGGAGAGGAUCUUUGGAUAUUGUUAUUACCUGCGGCUCCCAAGCGCACAGCUGCAUUGCACGCAGUGACCUGCUGCUAGAGCGUAGCUUCCAUUUGGAACUAUCAAUCCGUAAUCCGAAGCAUACUUGGGAAAAUUAGAAGCACAGGCUGUCACAAAGAUGAAGAUACAGAAUCAAUCAUUAAAACAUCACAAAGAUGUAAACUUUUGGCAGCUCAAAACUAACACAACACAAAAUGUAAUCAAACAACACUAAAGGAAACAACCAAAGACUCACAAAGCUACACCAAAAGUAGAAACUAACUCCCAUUAUAUAAACUUCUAAAGAUAAGCACAAGCUGAGACAUGGUGAAGAUACAUAACCAAAAAUUAAAACAACUGUUACCAACAGAGUUUAACAAACAAGAAAACAGCACAAAGAUGCAAACUUUUAGCAGCUCAAAACUCACACCAACGCACAACAAGUAAAGAAAACAACCAAAGACUGACAAAGCCACACUAAAGAUCCCAACUUGGCAACACUACUGACUACAAUUAACAUAUAUAAACUGCUUAUUCAACCUUUGGCAGCUCAAAACUCACAUCAACGCACAACACAAACAAAAAAACAAUUAAAGAAACAACCAAAGAUCCCAACUUUACAACAUUAACCAACAAUAGAAACUACUUCCCAUCAUAUAAACCCAUAAAGACAAGAACUUUAUAGACCAAACCUGACAAGGGAACAGCGAGGAUAUCACCGGAGCUAACAUCAGGAGCCCCCAUAGCAUUCACAUUCAUCAAAUCAGUAACCGUAGUCUCGUACCUCCUCGCUAUCCCCGCCAACGUAUCCACACCCUUCACCACGUACGACAGAUAAACCGCCGGCAGAGAAUUAUCCGUCCCGUUGAAGCAAGCGCACGGCAGAAGAAUAAGACAGGGGAUAGCAGCCACCGACCAUUUGCUCCAAUCUUCAAAGGAGAAUGACGGAGAAAGAAAGACAACAGAGAGAGAAACUACAGAAAACGAAGAAGGCCACGUCAACAAGGAUUCAUUCAUUUUAAUCCUUAAUUAAGGACUGCUCCUUAGCUUAUUUAGGUUUUAUAUUAUUAUUAUUGUAUUGGUAUUUGCUUAGGAUUAUGUGCUAAGGAUUCAUUUAAAUCCUCUGUUGCGGAUGGUCUUAUAACUAAUUUUAUGACAUGCUUUUUUUAUUCACUGAACUAAUUUUGAAGGCUUUAACCUUAUGCGGGCUUAAAUCUGGUAAUUACACUUGUUGCAUUUUUUUUUGUUUCUAAACAAACCUUUUUUAUUUCCUUUUAACAUCUCAACCAAUAUUUGUCUUUUUUUAGUAUUUACUUUUUAAUAUUUUCUUCCGUUUUUAGUAUUUCACUAGAUCAAUAAUUUAGAUUUUAAUUGAUAUUGAUUAUUUUUUCUAUUUUAUUCAGUUUCCGUCGAUUUUAGUUAAAAUUUUACUUUUCUUUGAAUUUAUAUAAUUAAAAUAAAUUCAUAACAAUACAAUAUUUUAUAUAAUAUACAAUUUUAUGUUAAUAGCAUUAAAAUAAUACUUACUAAUUAUACAAAUGCUUUAAUUUUAGUUUUAUUUAUAUAUUUUAGAAUAUGACUUUUUUUUAUCAAACUAAACUUGCAUUAAUUUUAAAUGUGUUUACACUCCAACAAAGGAGGAUACAAAAAAACUAUUAACAGCCAAACAAACAACAAUAUAAAGGAGAGAAUGACGAUACAAAUCACAAGAAGGAGCCAUAUGAAAUCGUACCACAACAACAUCAUAAGCUUCUUUAAAACCGCAUCUAGUGUAACCCGUAAGACAACACACACUGUACCAUACGCAGAGAAGAGCAUUCAAUGGGAAGAAAAUCUUUGCAAUACCAACGAAACUUGUUCAUCCAAUUUACUCCAUAUAAAAUGAAAUAUUAGGAAAAAAGACCGAUUCAAACGAUAUUUUAGAAUAUGACUAAAUUCUAGUAAUUUGUGUAAUAUAAAAUCAUCGGUUUUUGCCCACUAUAUAGAUUUAUUUUGUGGGUUCCGCCUCUAGCUGUAACGCAUUGGAAUAUACUUUUGUGUGUUAUAAACUAUAAUCUACUCGACAGUGAAAUCAGUGACUCGUGAUUAUGAGAUUGGGUAUUUGGUCUUUAAAAAAAAGAGUUUUGGUAUUUGGUCUUUUUUAAAAAUAUUUUCCAGUCUUAAGAACAAAGCAUUUGGUAUCCUGUCUUCAAUUAAUUCGCGGAUCAAAGAUGAGUUGGCCGAGAAAACAGCAAAUAACAACAAAACGUGGGCCCAAACCGGUCCACGUCUCUCUUAUUUUUUUACUUAUCUGAAUUCCGUGUUUCAACCUAGGUUUCGACAUGUUGUUGGAAUAUAUUUUGUGCAUUAUAUAAUUUACUCGUCGUUGAAUACUGACCAACGCCGUUUUAUAUAUGACAAGAAGCCCAUAACAUAACGCAUUAUGCGAACGAACAUCUCGAGUUGUCUCAUACGACGUCCCAAAGAGUUUCACAAUAAGAUCUUCAGAGCAUUGACUUGAGAUACAAGAAAUAAUUAGUCAUCCUUUUUCUUGGUCCUGUUUUGUUUCCAGUUGAAAUCGUCACUUACAUGAGUUUUCUUUGCAUAGAGUGAGCUUUGAAGUAAAGAACUAUGACUUCUGACACAGAGGAAAAGAACAGCAGCGACAUAGUUCCCCCAAGCGGAUCAUUUCGGUCGACCGAUCACAAUCCUGUGAUGGAAAACGUUGGAGGCACGGACGGAUCCAGCGUAUGGGAGAAUCGGGAGAAGAAACGGAACGGGCUGGUGAACCAGAUCAAGCGGUUUGCAGGGAAGCCAGCUCGGUUGAACCGGUCGAAGUCAACGACCGGUCAGGCCUUGAGAGGGCUCAAGUUCAUCAGUAAGGCUGANNNNNNNNNNNNNNNNNNNNNNNNNNNNNNNNNNNNNNNNNNNNNNNNNNNNNNNNNNNNNNNNNNNNNNNNNNNNNNNNNNNNNNNNNNNNNNNNNNNNNNNNNNNNNNNNNNNNNNNNNNNNNNNNNNNNNNNNNNNNNNNNNNNNNNNNNNNNNNNNNNNNNNNNNNNNNNNNNNNNNNNNNNNNNNNNNNNNNNNNNNNNNNNNNNNNNNNNNNNNNNNNNNNNNNNNNNNNNNNNNNNNNNNNNNNNNNNNNNNNNNNNNNNNNNNNNNNNNAAAAAAAAAAAAAAAAAAAAAAAAAAAAAAAACUGUCCCAUAACUUACACUCGAAAGCUAACAUAAGAGUAGAGAGAAUUACCACAUAUUUAUAUAUUUUGUCCAAAAAUAUCUAUUUUUUCAGUGUAGGGACAAUUGUAAGAAUCAGCAAAUCUUUUAUUUGUAUAUUCAGAUCUAUGAUUUAGUCGGUUUUGAAAAAGUUAAAACUGAGGUGGGGACAUAAAACAUGAUAGAUCCCUACAUACAUUGUAUGUUUCGUAAACAACAAAAAAGACUCGUACAUGGUUGUUCCUCUAGCAAGAAUAAAGAUUUUAUUUUAUUCGAUAUUUGUAUUUUACGUUGUGAUCCUUCGAACUCACGAUCAUAUUAAGAAAACAUGUGUUACAGAAGAAAAAACAAUCGGUCCAUUCAACCAGGCGUAGAAACAAAACAAAUAAUGACAAAUAAUAGAUAGGCGGGAAGGUGGUACAGAAAGCCCAUUUACGAAUUUGAAUGGGCCGAACAAAUAACCGUGGGUCCAAUCCAAAACUUUGUGUUAGUCCACCAAACGGAACCCUCUUAACCAUUCAGAAGGUGCGAUCAGCAUCGAUGACGCGCUACCUCCAUUAAAGACACGCCACGUCAACCAUUAUUCGCAAUCUGAUUGGCUGAUCACACGUUGAAGCAAGUCACCUAAAACACGAAACACCUCCCACUCGCGUCAUUUAAGACACACGCGCGCGUGAACUCUCUCUCUCUCUCUCUCUCUCUGUCUUUGUUUUGGUUUGGUUUUGGAAGGACUUUGACCUUCCCCUUGUGCUUGUUGGACUUGGUCGGGGUAAGAAAAAGAGAAGAAGACCCUCGCUGCUCUCCGAUGGCGAUCAGAGGAAUCUUUACGAUUUCAACGGUGGUGUUGUUUCUGCUGACGGUGAAUCACGGCGAAGCUAUAUGGCUGACGAUUCCGGCGACGGGAGGGACCAAGUGCGUCUCCGAGGAGAUACAGAGCAACGUCGUCGUCAUGGCUGAUUACUACGUCGUCGAUGAGCAGAACCCUGGAAACACACCUGCUGUUUCCGCUAAGGUACGGCUCCGAAUCAAACUUAUGUAUUCGAUUGAGUUCAAAGUUGUGAACUUUAUGUCGGUGGCUUUGGUACUACGGAUCAAUAGUUUUAAAGAUGCAAACUUUUUUUUUUCUUUGGGUCUGAUUGGGGUUUGAGUAGGUAACAUCUCCUUAUGGGAACGAUCUUCAUCACCAAGACAAUGUAACGCACGGUCAGUUUGCGUUCACAACUCAAGAGACAGGGAACUACUUGGCUUGUUUCUCGGUUGAUUCAAGUCAUCCGCUACCUAAUCCGUUGACCCUUGGGAUUGAUUGGAAGACUGGUAUCGCCGCCAAAGAUUGGGACUCUGUUGCUAAAAAGGAAAAGAUCGAGGCAAGUUACAUUUACAUUUAC